GAUCAUGGCUCAGGAUGAACGCUAGCUACAGGCUUAACACAUGCAAGUCGAGGGGCAGCGGGAAGUCAGCUUGCUGACUUUGCCGGCGACCGGCGCACGGGUGAGUAACACGUAUCCAACCUUCCCGUUACUCUGGAAUAGCCUUUCGAAAGAAAGAUUAAUACCGGAUAGUAUCGAGAGAUUGCAUGAUUACCCGAUUAAAGAUUCAUCGGUAACGGAUGGGGAUGCGUUCCAUUCGG
rnacentral:rRNA from 1 species